rnacentral:tRNA from 1 species
GAGGGUAUUGUUCAGUGUAAUAGUGACAGUGUGUGCUUAGCAUGCACAAUGUCCUGGGUUCAAUUCCCAGUACCUUCA